UACGUAGGGGGCGAGCGUUGUCCGGAUUUAUUGGGUGUAAAGAGUGCGUAGGCGGUUUAUUAAGUCUAAGGUUAAAUACUGAAGCUCAACUUCAGUUCGCCUUGGAAACUGGUAGACUUGAGUAUAGUAGAGGCAAGUGGAAUUUCUAGUGUAGCGGUAAAAUGCGUAGAUAUUAGAAGGAACACCAGUGGCGAAGGCGACUUGCUGGGCUAUUACUGACGCUGAGGCACGAAAGCGUGGGGAGCAAAUAGG
rnacentral:rRNA from 1 species